AAAAAUAUUAAGAUAAAAUUUAAAAAUGUUUAAAAUGUUUCCAAUACUUGACAAAUAAUCUCGAGAGAAGCGAUAGCUUUUGCUUCUUAAAUCGCUUCAUUGAUCACGCGUUUAUUGCAAACCAGCAAUAGGUACCAGCCGUUUGGAAACAGCAGAAGAACCACACGUUAUCUUUGUUUGUUCAACGCGACAGCAUGUGUGCUUUUGAUUGUAUCAUUCGACAAUGUUUUAUCUCUCAGCUCGAGGCGUAGGAGCGAACAGCAUCUCAUUAACAGUGGUAAAAUUGUACCGAUUUAAGCACAAAUUGCAAACUGGUAUCGCAUGUCAGUCUAGGUAAUAUAAAAUUUUAUCAAUUUUGUGCGAUGAAACCUUUUUUCUCGGGAUACAAGUUUGCAAUGAGAUGAAUGUUCAAAAUGAUUAAAAUAUCAUUAAGUCAAUAAAGAACCAUUGAUUCUCUUA